AAGGGUAUAGCUCAAUGGUAGAGUGCAUGCCUACCAGGCCUGAGGUCCUGGGUUCAAGCCCCAGGACCUCCA
rfam:Camelus ferus unplaced genomic scaffold scaffold2045, whole genome shotgun sequence.